CCUACGGGAGGCAGCAGUGGGGAAUAUUGCACAAUGGGCGAAAGCCUGAUGCAGCAACGCCGCGUGAGCGAUGAAGGCUUUCGGUUCGUAAAGCUCUGUCCUCAAGGAAUAUAAUGACGGGUCCUGGAGAAAGAGCCCCGGUUAACUUAGUUCCAACAGCCGCGGUAAUACGGAGGGGGCUAGCGUUUUCCUGAAUUACUGGGGGUAAAGGGUGCGGAGGUGGUUUCUUAAGUUAGAGGUGAAAGGCUACGGUGAAACCUGAGUAAGCCUUUGAAACUGGGGAACUUGAGUGCAGGAGAGGAGAGUGGAAUUCCUAGUGUAGCGGUGAAAUGCGUAGAUAUUAGGAGGAACACCAGUUGCGAAGGCGGCUUUCUGGACUGUAACUGACACUGAGGCACGAAAGCGUGGGGAGCAAACAGGAUUAGAUACCCCAGUAGUC
rnacentral:rRNA from 1 species